rnacentral:lncRNA from 1 species
AUGGAAAACUGAUCUUGAAGACUGAGAUGCCUAUGAAAUGAGAAAGACUAAAUAGAUAACAUCCAUGGAGAAAUAGGAGGAUGGGAGCUUUGCCCAUGCGUUCUGCCACCUUCUGCCAGGAAUUACACCUGUCCCAUCCCGUCGUCUCCUGAAUGUCCAGGCUCUUGCAUCUAUGAAGUAAGCCUUCCUUUUUAAUCAUGAUGGGCACGUGCACUAAGAGAAACAUGGACCUGUUUUUAACCCUUGAUGUUGAGAACACAGAGAAAAGAGACAGGGGUCUCCCCGUGUUGUCCAGAACGGUCUUGAACUCCUGGUCUUCAAGCAAUCUUCCUGCCUUGGUCUCUCAAAGUGCUGGGAUUACAAGUGUGAGCCACCAUACCCGGUCAUAGCGCUCUUAUAAAAUGCAUCAUCACAUUUAUUUUAUAAAUUCAGAAACAAAAGUCUGUAUAGAGAAGUUUUGAAGUUACUAGGGACCUGAAAAUCAUACUGAAGAUGUCUGCAACUAAAAACUCGAAGAGUUCCGAGGCUAGAGGGGUCAGGAGAUGAAUAAAAACGUUAGCCCCAGCUGAUCACAAUGAGGUUAAUCACAAUACUAAUUAAAAAUACUACAGAUCCUAGGACAAUGGUCAGAAGAGUGACUAUACUUUCCUGUUUGCCCUUGGAAAAUCGAGGGCUGACUUUUCUACGUGCUCAGAUAACCUAAAUUGAUAGAGAGAAAGCUAGCAGAGGAUAAGAUAAACUAGUUAACUGUAAAUAAGAUUUUGCUGUUGGAGAAUCUUCUUGUUGCUCUGGUUUUAGAUAGCGGAGGAAGCCAAAAAAUAUCUGCUUUAAGUUACCAGGAGUUGAAGUUCAUCCCUGCUGAAGUUAACAGGUUGCUUCCCUUUUUCUGGUGUAUUCUUACUUUACUGGCAAAGAGAAAAUAAAUUAAUACCUUAUUGUUAAAA